GGUCUACCUCCUGUAACUGUUUCCUGCUGAGUUUAUGGAUGUUGGUCCUGUCUAGCCCUGGAGAAACAGAAAUCUCUGGAUACCUGAUCUGAGGGGCCCCGAGGCAGGACACUUUCAUUCUCCAGGGUGUAAAUAGUCCCAUCAUGGUGAUGUCAAGCCCCAAACAUGAUGUCAUGAUGAGCCACCUAAGAAGGUUCAAAGAAAAAGGAGAAGAGAGUCUGGAAUUGAGUUUUGAACACUCCAACAUUUCCAGGCUUGGCAGAAGAGAAGUCAGCAAAGGAGACAGAAGGUGCUGCCAGAGGAGGAAGAGGAGAAUCAGCAGAGUGUGCUGUCCAAAGUGCCAGGGAAGAGGGUUUCAGGCGGAGGAGGAAGUGUCAAGAAAGUUGAACGUUUCUGAGAGAUUGGUAGAUUAGCUCCCAGGGCAGUCCCGCAGCACGAGGUCACCUGUAAUCCUCCCGGAUCAGACACGGUGCCAACCCAGGUGCACCCACAACCCUUGCAUGGCAGCAUCUGUCAUCCUGGUCACUCAACUGCCUUCUGUCCUUCUGGUAAGAACAUCCCGCCCCUGUGGAAAACAGCCUGUCCUUCCUCCAGGCAGGUGGCUCCAAUCUCAAUCAUGGCACCUCGAGAAACUACGGGUGAUCAUGGCCAAGCUCAGCCAAGGCAGAGCCAUUCUUCAGGAUUUAUAAGUGCAGUGCUCCACCGAAACAGGGAAACACUGCUCUCUUUUCCUCUGAUACCAUUAAACUGACAUGACAUCAGACUGAAGUGGCCUUUGGCAAUGGAAAAAGCCUGUCUGAAGUAGAAGCCGAAAUGAGAAAGGAAAACCUGGAUGUGUCCCUCCAUCUGGGUCUACUCUUGUUUUCUCCAGCUCUGAACCAAUAAACAGCACUGGCAUUUUGAACAC
rnacentral:lncRNA from 1 species